AACGAACGCUGGCGGCAUGCCUAACACAUGCAAGUCGAACGAGACCUUCGGGUCUAGUGGCGCACGGGUGCGUAACGCGUGGGAACCUGCCCUUAGGUUCGGAAUAACUCCCCGAAAGGGGUGCUAAUACCGGAUAAUGUCUUCGGACCAAAGAUUUAUCGCCUUUGGAUGGGCCCGCGUUGGAUUAGCUAGUUGGUAGGGUAAAAGCCUACCAAGGCGACGAUCCAUAGCUGGUAUGAGAGGAUGAUCAGCCACACUGGGACUGAGACACGGCCCAGACUCCUACGGGAGGCAGCAGUGGGGAAUAUUGGACAAUGGGCGAAAGCCUGAUCCAGCAAUGCCGCGUGAGUGAUGAAGGCCGUAGGGUUGUAAAGCUCUUUUACCCGGGAUGAUAAUGACAGUACCGGGAGAAUAAGCUCCGGCUAACUCCGUG
rnacentral:rRNA from 1 species